CUCCUUGAUUACUCCCCUUUUAUUUGGCUCUCAGUAGACAGCAAUCACUAGGUGUUAUUGUUUUCUCUUACAUUCUGUAUACUUCAUGUUUUGGUCAUCUGCAGUGCUUCAUUAUUAAACUCACCUUCUGCACCUGCUUCCUGACUCCCGGCAUAUUAUGUUACAGACGUCCAGACAGUGCACAAUUGAGACAGAACUGUAGCUAGCUAGCCAACCUUCUUCAACUUUCUCCUAGACUAUCAGCUUUUCAUACUAUAAGGUCUCUAUUAGUGGUCCUGCUGGGCCAGCACCUACAACUCCGCCAGCAUCUGCUGUUUAGACUCCUCCAUUGAGGACUGCAAUGAACUUGUCAAUGUUCAGUAAUAAAGGUUUGGGAGCUCUCAUGUGUCUGCAGCAAUACCAAACCUUAACUUAGCACGGAAGCCUGUUCAGAUGUCCGUAGCCCAGCCAAGUUGUCUACAGCCUUUGUGAGUGCCCCCAACCUUGCAUUGGCCUCUUGAGUGCCCAAAUCCUUGCAUCGCUGUCUAUCACCCAGUUGUGCUAUCUGCGGAGUUAGCUCCAGGUAAAUGUUGCAAUUCUUCAGCCAUUCCUGGACCUGCGACCAAAAUCACCUACAUAUGGACAGUACGAAAACAAAUGACCUAAUGAUUCUGUCUCUUCGCAGAAAAAUCUGCAUUCUAUUGGUUGUAAGAAUGUUGUAUAAUAAUUUAAACACAAAAACUCAAAGUUUUGAAUCCGGUGUCGUUUUGCAUAUCAGUUCAUAAAUCAUGUGCCAUGGAACCAGUACAGUGAACAUCUCUUCCCAAAUAUUUUGAAAUCUAUUUUGCACAGCUGUCAAUGUUUUGGUCCUUAAUUUUCUAUAACCAAUUUAGAUCUUUAAUGCAGGGCCAACAGAUGAGUUCCCUACUCCCCCCCCCCCUUCUUCUUGCCUCCUCCUUUUUUGUGGUAAUGCUGUAAUCAGUUGGUUGUAAUUUUGGGUAGAGCAGACAUUUCCAUAUAUUUAUGUUAGCUGAUUGUGGAACAUAACUCCAACAGUCCUAUUUAUGAUACAUUUAACAGAGAUUAUACAUGUUUUAAUCAAUUAGUAUAUUUGAGUUUAACCACAAUAUUUCUUGUAUUAUUUGUCUUUUCUUGUGGAUUAAAUUGAAAUUGCAAACAACUUUCUAUGGUUUGUUUUAAAAAUAAAAUGUUG